UUGUAACACGUCUGUUUAAUGUUACUAUAAUAAGUAUUUAUUCGAACUAAAAACAGUCGAACAUCGAGUUGAAAUUCACCCACCACCAAGGGAUCUCCUAACAGAGUCUCCAAUCCUUUUGUCCGAUGACGACGAAGUGAAAGACGAAGAACUUUGUUUGAUCGAUCUUACAAAGUUGGAAGAUGAUUAUCGAGAGGAUUCGCCGGAAGAGACCAACGCGAUCCCUUUAACCCAAUCGCAGUCUGAUUUUCCGUUUACAUCUCUUGCUCACUGGUCUCCCUUAACGCUGGAGGGUCCGUCAACGGCCAUUCCAGGCAGAGGAGAAGGCUUGAUUGCGCCAAAGACUCCAGACAUCGAAUCCUUGCUCCGUGGGGAAAUCAUCGAAAACGACGGUGAAUGUCCAACAGGCACCCGCUGCAACAAACGCAGGAGGAAGCGUAGAUGCGCCCGCCAGCUCGACAAACAUGAUAGAAACAGAAGAAGGCUGAAACAGUACUAUCGUAUACUGGCUCGCACUCUCAUGAAGAUGGCAGACAUGAUUUGAUACAUACUGGUUUGUUAUAUCUGUUCCAUUCGAAUUAUUUUUUCUUUUUUUUCUUUAGAGAAAUAUAAUGGGUGUAGUUCCAUCUGAAUUAGAUGUAGUUAUUGUAGAAGAUGAAGACGUUUGUAAUCAUCAUUUAGAUCCAAACAACCAGAUAGAAUGGGAACCAA